AAAUGAAUAGACGGGGGCCCGCACAAGCGGAGGAACAUGUGGUUUAAUUCGAUGAUACGCGAGGAACCUUACCCGGGCUUGAACUGCUGAGGACCGGUCCAGAGAUGGACUUUCCCUUCGGGGUCUCAGUGGAGGUGCUGCAUGGUUGUCGUCAGCUCGUGCCGUGAGGUGUCGGCUUAAGUGCCAUAACGAGCGCAACCCUUUCCGUCAGUUGCCAUCAGGUAAUGCUGGGGACUCUGUCGGUACUGCCAUCGUAAGAUGUGAGGAAGGUGGGGAUGACGUCAAAUCAGCACGGCCCUUACGUCCGGGGCUACACACGUGUUACAAUGGGGGGUACAGAAGGCUGCGACCCGGCGACGGGGAGCCAAUCCCAAAAACCCUUCUCAGUUCGGACUGGAGUCUGCAACCCGACUCCACGAAGCUGGAUUCGCUAGUAAUCGCGCAUCAGCCAUGGCGCGGUGAAUACGUUCCCGGGCCUUGUACACACCGCCCGU
rnacentral:rRNA from 1 species